UGACUAAGACUGACAUGGAGCUGGAGGUUCUGCGAUACACUAACCGGAUUUCCAGUGAAGCCCAUAAAGAGAUCAUGAAGCAUGUGAGACCUGGACAGAAAGAAUAUGAAAUGGAGAGCCUGUUCCAGCACUACUGCUACUCUCAUGGGGGAAUGAGACACACCUCCUACACCUGUAUCUGUGGAAC